rnacentral:lncRNA from 1 species
CUGGCAAGUCACGACGACAAACGCCGCCCCACUUCAUGCGGCAGACUCCACGUGGCACGCCCCAGCGAUAACCACGGGUCCGUUCCACUACGCUUCGCAGCAAACUCCGCUUGACCCCGGGCAGUCCACUGCCAGACGGUUACAAACGUCGCCAUCAAUCCGUUGCUUCCUCCGCCUAUAAAAGGGGGACCCAGAUACGU